AACGAACGCUGGCGGCAUGCCUAACACAUGCAAGUCGAACGAGACCUUCGGGUCUAGUGGCGCACGGGUGCGUAACGCGUGGGAACCUGCCCUUAGGUUCGGAAUAACUCCCCGAAAGGGGUGCUAAUACCGGAUAAUGUCUUCGGACCAAAGAUUUAUCGCCGUUGGAUGGGCCCGCGUUGGAUUAGCUUGGUGGUAGGGUAAAAGCCUACCACGGCGACGAUCCAUAGCUGGUCAGAGAGGAUGAUCAGCCACACUGGGACUGGGACACGGCCCAGACUCCUACGGGAGGCAGCAGUGGGGAAUAUUGGACAAUGGGCGAAAGCCUGAUCCAGCAAUGCCGCGUGAGUGAUGAAGGCCUGAGGGUUGUAAAGCUCUUUUACCCGGGAUGAUAAUGACAGUACCGGGAGAAUAAGCUCCGGCUAACUCCGUG
rnacentral:rRNA from 1 species